rnacentral:rRNA from 1 species
AUUGAACGCUGGCGGCAGGCCUAACACAUGCAAGUCGAACGAGUGGCGGACGGGUGAGUAAUGUCUGGGAAACUGCCUGAUGGAGGGGGAUAACUACUGGCAACGGUAGCUAAUACCGCAUACCAUCGGAUGUGCCCAGAUGGGAUUAGCUUGUGGGUGGGGUAACGGCUCACCAAGGCGACGAUCCCUAGCUGGUCUGCGAGGAUGACCAGCCACCCUGGAACGGAGACACGGUCCAUACUCCUACGGGAGGCAGAAGUGGGGAAUAUUGCACGAUGGGCGCAAGCCUGAUGCAGCCAUGCCGCGUUGAUGAAGAAGGCCUUCGGGUUGUAAAGUACGUUCAGCGGGGAGGCGUUACCCACAGAAGAAGCACCGGCUAACUCCGUGCCAGCAGCCGCGGUAAUAC